rnacentral:rRNA from 1 species
CCUUUGUACACACCGCCCGUUGCUACUACCGAUUGAAUGGCUUAGUGAGACCCUUGGAUUGUAGAUUGUAUUGUUGGCAACAACAUACGAUUCACGAGAAGUUGGUCAAACUUGGUCAUUUAGAGG